UACGGAGGGUGCAAGCGUUGUUCGGAAUUACUGGGCGUAAAGCGCGUGUAGGCGGCCCUGCAAGUCAGAUGUGAAAGCCCUCGGCUUAACCGGGGAAGUGCAUCUGAAACUGCUUGGCUUGAGUACCGGAGAGGAAGGCGGAAUUCCCAGUGUAGAGGUGAAAUUCGUAGAUAUUGGGAGGAACACCGGUGGCGAAAGCGGCCUUCUGGACGGAUACUGACGCUGAGACGCGAAAGCGUGGGGAG
rnacentral:rRNA from 1 species